UGCUCCCGAGUACAUGACUAGAUUUUACAGAGUGAUAGUAACGUUGAAAUUGUUAGAUUAUGGGUAAUUGUUGUUGUAAUACACAAGUUGCACCUGAACAUACAACUGUCCUACCUUCCAGUACCGAAGGAAAAUAUUCCAAGUCCUCAGUGAAGGUGGAUCAUAGAAGAGUCCAAAAGACGAUCAAUAUGCUGCAAAAUAGUCAUGAAAGGAAUGUGGUUGUUCCCGUGGAUGCCAAAGAAGCUGAAUCCCAUGCUUCCACGUCCAGAGGAGUAACACAGAGUGGAACUAAAGUAAGAAGAGAGAGUGGAAUAGUGGGGUCAUCCGUGUCCUCAGCACUAUCACAUCAACCGCUGCAGGCAGGCACAGCAAGAGAGAGUGGAAAAGUGAGGUCAUCCUUGUCCUCGGCACUAUCAUGUCAACCCCUGCAGGCAGGAACAGUGUUACCUAUCCGUGCAGACAGUGCAAGUUCAGACGAGGACCAGGAAAAAUCACCACUAAGGCUAGUUAAGGUAUCAUCUAAGAAAAGCAAACAUGGGUCCAACAUUUUAAGAACUAUGCAGCGGAAGGGGACCAUUUUCCUUAUUGAUCCUGAAGUGUGUCAAUUUAUAGAUGAAAUUCGCAAAGACAAAAUGAAAAAUGAAAUGGAAGUGGUACCUUUACGUAUAGACACUACAACUUUGCCACACAAUGAGGAAAAAGCACCGGUGAAGCCAGUAGAGGUGUCAUCUAAAAAACGCAGAUGUG
rnacentral:lncRNA from 1 species